GCCUGCUUGGCUCAGUUGGUUUGAGCAUUACAUGCCCUCCCCGUGAUGAUGCGGGUUCGAAUCUCAUAGUGGGCA